rnacentral:lncRNA from 1 species
GAGAGAGAGAGAGAGAGAGAGAGAGAGAGAGAAGUGGUAGUGAAGGAAUAAUUCAGGUUGUUUGCAAAUUCAGAUAGAGUGAGAAAGGAUUUUUUUUUGGGUGUGUGUGUUCUUUAGAGUUGUGGGGAUGAACGGAUGAGGACUUUGAAAAUGUGACCUAGGCAUAGAGACAGGUGGCCAUGAAGUAAUGGAGCCCUUCUGCCAUUUUCUAGAGAGUUGGGGGCACCGUCCUCAGAAAUAUUUUGGUUCUUUACUAGAGACAGAGAGAGAGAGGUUUAAUAGAAGUAUGCAAGCUAAUUGCUGUAAGUUUAGCAAACUCAUUUUUUUUAUUUCAUUAAUCACAAGAAUAGGGAAAGUGUUUAUGUGCUCGGUCUUCUUGGUGUGAAGUGAGUUUAGAUGCAUUGUGCAGGCUAAGAUGUUAGAUAACCGAUGGUUACCAGGUCCUUGUGCAUCAAUUACUGGCAAUGCGUGCUUUGAAGCCUUUGUUGCAUGGUGGUCGAAAGUUUUGAAAUCCAACCAGAAAGCGAACAGAGAUGAGAGCACAUAUAAUGUGCUCCCCAUGGAGCAAAUUGGAUCCAAUUGAAAAAUAAAUAAUUUAUUUGGGGUUUUAUUAUUAUUAUUUUAUUUUAUCAUUUUGGCAAAGAUUGGAAAGUGUUUGGCCAUAAAUAUUUAUUUUUAUAUUUUCCCUUUUUCUUUUGGAUUAUUUUAAAAAUAUAUCCAGUUAAAAGUUGAUUUUUUAAAAUCUAAUUUUUUUUUUACUUAAUCUUACUCUAAACAUACAUUUCCUUUUUCUAUUGUUUUUUUUAUAAUUUUUUGACCUUUUCUAACACUGCUCCCACCGGAGUGAAGCAUGCGCUCCCUCCCAGGAAACAUCACUUUGAUUCAUGAAGCCAUUUUUUACUUUGGUUUGAUUUCAG